UCCAGUGCCAGCAUGCGGGGUGUUGUAAGUAGUACCUCUGAAACAAACUUACGCAAUCAUCUAAAUGGCAAUUUAGCCUAUAGCAGCGGGGGACGUACCCUUGCUUUUGCUGCCUAGUCGGAGAUUAGGUAGCACGUGUCUCGCUAGUCCUUCGUUCUGCAGGACUAGCACCCGAGGCAUCAACUCGUAGAACUAGCUACAGCAGGUACGUGAUGUUGUGGCGAAACGCAAGUGCGUAUACGGAGUGUCUGAGGCAAGUGGCUGACCUUGGCUAUCCCGACAAACAACAGCCACUAAGCAUGUAGAAAGCAUUGUGAUUGACUUGUCCGGACGAGGGUUCGAUUCCCUCCGACUCCACUG
rnacentral:tmRNA from 1 species